GUGAAGCGAACGCGGUGAACUGAAACAUCUAAGUAACCGCAGGAAAAGAAAUCAACCGAGAUUCCCAAAGUAGUGGCGAGCGAAAUGGGAUGAGCCUUGCACUCUUUAUUUGUAUUGUUAGCCGAACGCUCUGGAAAGUGCGGCCAUAGCAGGUGAUAGCCCUGUAGGCGAAAACAGUAUGAAAGAACUAGGUGUGCGACAAGUAGGGCGGGACACGUGAAAUCCUGUCUGAAGAUGGGGGGACCAUCCUCCAAGGCUAAAUACUCGUGAUCGACCGAUAGUGAACCAGUACCGUGAGGGAAAGGCGAAAAGAACCCCGGGAGGGGAGUGAAAUAGAUCCUGAAACCGCAUGCAUACAAACAGUCGGAGCCUCGUAAGGGGUGACGGCGUACCUUUUGUAUAAUGGGUCAGCGACUUACGUUCAGUAGCAAGCUUAACCGUAUAGGGCAGGCGUAGCGAAAGCGAGUCCGAAUAGGGCGUUCAGUUGCUGGGCGUAGACCCGAAACCAGGUGAUCUAUCCAUGGCCAGGAUGAAGGUGCGGUAACACGUACUGGAGGUCCGAACCCACUAACGUUGAAAAGUUAGGGGAUGAGCUGUGGAUAGGGGUGAAAGGCUAAACAAACCUGGAAAUAGCUGGUUCUCUCCGAAAACUAUUUAGGUAGUGCCUCGUGUCUCACCUUCGGGGGUAGAGCACUGUCAUGGUUGGGGGGUCUAUUGCAGAUUACCCCGCCAUAGCAAACUCCGAAUACCGAAGAGUGCAAUCACGGGAGACAGACAUCGGGUGCUAACGUCCGGUGUCAAGAGGGAAACAACCCAGACCGCCAGCUAAGGUCCCCAAAUAUAGCUAAGUGGGAAACGAAGUGGGAAGGCUAAAACAGUCAGGAGGUUGGCUUAGAAGCAGCCACCCUUUAAAGAAAGCGUAAUAGCUCACUGAUCGAGUCGUCCUGCGCGGAAGAUGUAACGGGGCUAAGCUAUAUACCGAAGCUGCGGAUGCGAGCUUUGCUCGCAUGGUAGGAGAGCGUUCCGUAAGCCUGCGAAGGUGCCUUGUAAAGGGUGCUGGAGGUAUCGGAAGUGCGAAUGCUGACAUGAGUAGCGAUAAAGGGGGUGAAAGGCCCCCUCGCCGUAAGCCCAAGGUUUCCUACGCAACGUUCAUCGGCGUAGGGUGAGUCGGCCCCUAAGGCGAGGCAGAAAUGCGUAGCUGAUGGGAAGCAGGUCAAUAUUCCUGCACCAUUGUUAGAUGCGAUGGGGGGACGGAUCGCGGAAGGUUGUCCGGGUGUUGGAAGUCCCGGUCGCUGCAUUGGAGAAGGCGCUUAGGCAAAUCCGGGCGCGUAAUUCAAGGGUGUGGCGCGAGCUCCUUAGGGAGCGAAGCAAUUGGAAGUGGUUCCAAGAAAAGCCUCUAAGCUUCAGUCUAAUGAUGACCGUACCGCAAACCGACACAGGUGGGCGAGAUGAGUAUUCUAAGGCGCUUGAGAGAACUCGGGAGAAGGAACUCGGCAAAUUGGUACCGUAACUUCGGGAUAAGGUACGCCCUUGUAGCUUGACUGGCCUGCGCCAGGAGGGUGAAGGGGUUGCAAUAAACUGGUGGCUGCGACUGUUUAAUAAAAACACAGCACUCUGCAAACACGAAAGUGGACGUAUAGGGUGUGACGCCUGCCCGGUGCCGGAAGAUUAAAUGAUGGGGUGCAAGCUCUUGAUUGAAGUCCCGGUAAACGGCGGCCGUAACUAUAACGGUCCUAAGGUAGCGAAAUUCCUUGUCGGGUAAGUUCCGACCUGCACGAAUGGCGUAACGAUGGCCACACUGUCUCCUCCCGAGACUCAGCGAAGUUGAAGUGUUUGUGAUGAUGCAAUCUACCCGCGGCUAGACGGAAAGACCCCAUGAACCUUUACUGUAGCUUUGCAUUGGACUUUGAACCGAUCUGUGUAGGAUAGGUGGGAGGCUAUGAAACCGGAACGCUAGUUUCGGUGGAGCCGUCCUUGAAAUACCACCCUGGUUUGUUUGAGGUUCUAACCUUGGCCCGUGAUCCGGGUCGGGGACAGUGCAUGGUAGGCAGUUUGACUGGGGCGGUCUCCUCCCAAAGCGUAACGGAGGAGUACGAAGGUACGCUAGGUACGGUCGGAAAUCGUGCUGAUAGUGCAAUGGCAUAAGCGUGCUUAACUGCGAGACCGACAAGUCGAGCAGGUGCGAAAGCAGGUCAUAGUGAUCCGGUGGUUCUGUAUGGAAGGGCCAUCGCUCAACGGAUAAAAGGUACUCUGGGGAUAACAGGCUGAUACCGCCCAAGAGUUCAUAUCGACGGCGGUGUUUGGCACCUCGAUGUCGGCUCAUCUCAUCCUGGGGCUGUAGCCGGUCCCAAGGGUAUGGCUGUUCGCCAUUUAAAGAGGUACGUGAGCUGGGUUUAAAACGUCGUGAGACAGUUUGGUCCCUAUCUGCCGUGGGCGUUGGAUAUUUGAAGGGGGCUGCUCCUAGUACGAGAGGACCGGAGUGGACGAACCUCUGGUGUACCGGUUGUCACGCCAGUGGCAUCGCCGGGUAGCUAUGUUCGGAAGAGAUAACCGCUGAAAGCAUCUAAGCGGGAAACUCGCCUUAAGAUGAGAUAUCCCUGGGGACUAGAUCCCCUUGAAGGGUCGUUCGAGACCAGGACGUUGAUAGGUCAGGUGUGUAAGCGCAGUAAUGCGUUCAGCUAACUGAUACUAAUUGCCCGUAAGGCUUGAUCCU
rnacentral:rRNA from 2 species